UACGUAGGGCGCGAGCGUUAAUCGGAAUGAUUGGGCGUAAAGGGUGCGCAGGCGGUUCGCCAAGAUGGAGGUGAAAGCCCCGGGCUCAACCUGGGAAAGGCCUACAUGACUGGCGGACUCGAAUACGACAGAGGGAGGUGGAAUUCCACAAGUAGCAGUGAAAUGCGUAGAGAUGUGGAGGAACACCGAUGGCGAAGGCAACCUCCUGGGUCGGUAUUGACGCUGAGGCACGAAAGCGUGGGGAGCAAACAGG
rnacentral:rRNA from 1 species